rnacentral:tRNA from 1 species
GGGAGUGUAGCUCAGUUGGUAGAGCAACGCACUUUUAAUGCGUAGGUCUUGGGUUCGAGCCCCAACACUCUCA